AGUUGUUUGGGAAUGCAGCUCAAAAUGGGUGGUAAAUUUCAUCUAAGGCUAAAUAUUGGCGAGAGACCGAUAGCGAACAAGUACCGUGAGGGAAAGAUGAAAAGAACUUUGAAAAGAGAGUUAAACAGUGCGUGAAAUUGUUGAAAGGGAAACGUUUGACACCAGUCAUGCGGCUGGGAAAUCAGUCAAUUGAAGUGGGGAGUGAUAGGGGUUUGGACCGCAAGGCCAGCCUGUGUCUCAUCUCUGCUUUGGUUGAUGCACUUUCUCAUCGGCAGGUCAACAUCAGUUUCUCCCGCUGGACAAAACUCCAA
rnacentral:rRNA from 1 species